GACGAACGCUGGCGGCGUGCCUAACACAUGCAAGUCGAGCGGAAAGGCCAUUCGCGUUACUCUAGUGGCGAACCGGCGGGUGAGUCGUGGGCGCUCUGCCCUGCACCUUGGGAUACGCGUGGGAAACUGGGUCUAAUACCCAAUAGGACCACGCGCUUCAUGGCGUCUGGUGGAAAGCUUGUGCGGCGUGGGAUGGGCCCGCGGCCGAUCAGCUUGCUGGUGGGGUGAUGGCCUACCAAGUCGACGGGUGAUAGCCGGCCUGAGAGGGUGACCGGCCACACUGGGACUGAGAUAGGCACCAGACGCCGAAGGGAGGCAUCGGUCGGGAAUAUUGCACAGUGGGCGCAAGCCUGAGGCAGCGACGCAGGGUGUGGGAUGCCGGCCUUCGGGUUGAAAACCUCUUUCACCGGGGACGAGGAGUAAGUGACGGUACCUGGAGAAGAAGCAACGGCCAACUACGUG
rnacentral:rRNA from 1 species